rnacentral:rRNA from 1 species
UACGUAGGUGGCAAGCGAUACUCGGAAUCACUAGGCGUAAAGCGCAGGUAGGUGGUUUGGUAAGUCUUUUGUGAAAGCUCCCGGCUUAACUGGGAGAGUUCAAGGGAAACUACCAGACUAGAGUGUGGUAGGGGAUACUGGAAUUCCUGGUGUAGCGGUGAAAUGCGUAGAUAUCAGGAGGAAUACCUAUGGCGAAAGCAGGUAUCUGGGCCAUCACUGACGCUGAGCUGCGAAAGCUAGGGGAGCAAACAGG